rnacentral:rRNA from 1 species
GACGAACGCUGGCGGCGUGCUUAACACAUGCAAGUCGAACGGAAAGGCCCUGCUUUUGUGGGGUGCUCGAGUGGCGAACGGGUGAGUAACACGUGAGUAACCUGCCCUUGACUUUGGGAUAACUUCAGGAAACUGGGGCUAAUACCGGAUAGGAGCUCCUGCUGCAUGGUGGGGGUUGGAAAGUUUCGGCGGUUGGGGAGGGACUCGCGGCUUAGCAGCGUGUUGGUGGGGUAGUGGCUUACCAAGGCUUUGCCGGGUAGCCGGCCCGAGCGGGGGACCGGCGACAGUGGGACUGAGAGACGGCCCAGACUCCUACGGGAGGCAGCAGUGGGGAAUAUUGCACAAUGGGCGGAAGCCUGAUGCAGCAACGCCGCGUGCGGGAUGACGGCCUUCGGGUUGUAAACCGCUUUCGCCUGUGACGAAGCGUGAGUGACGGUAAUGGGUAAAGAAGCACCGGCUAACUACGUG